AUCUUGUCAGUAUGUACGUAGUAAAUACACGAACGUGCCGUGCAACUUCGAUUGUGGGAGAAAUUUCAAAACGGCUUCCUCCAAUACUAUUCUUUGCUUUAUCAUUAACGUUCCUACGCACGUAAUAACAAUACAUAACUUAAUGUAGGCUCAACAUAACAACAAAGAUAAGCACGCGUAUAGGCCGAAGAUAUCAUAUGUGUAAAUAAAACAAUAUAGAAAGUGGCAAUUCAUGACGAUGAGAAUCGUUAGUCUUUGACGAUGAGUGAUAAAAUACAGUAUUUUCCUUGCCCAUGUGCUGUCCUGAAGUCUUGCGUCUUGACUACUCUUGAGUCCUGAUUACCAACUUACCAACGAUGCAUUACUAGAGGAUUUAAAGGCAUGGUAUUAUAUACACGGUACAUAUAUGUAUAUCUACAUAUAUACGUCAGGAAUCAUUCUAAGACGAACACGGAAGAAGAUAUAAUAUUCUAUUCUUUUCCCUUUACUAGAUUCAGAUUCCUAAAUAGAUAGAAUUUCUCUGUGAGACAUGUCUUUAGAUUCUUAUAUAGGUAUUCUACCUAUAUAAAAAAUUUGGAGAUUUCUAAUAAAUGGGAUUUGUGAAAUUAAAA